rnacentral:rRNA from 1 species
GCCAGUCGGUAAUGCCGGCACUCUGAGGACUGCCAUCGACAAGAUGGAGGAAGGUGGGGAUGACGUCAAGUCAUCAUGGCCCUUAUGUCCAGGGCGACACACGUGCUACAAUGGCCGGCACAACGGGAAGCGAGUUCGCGAGGACGAGCGGAUCCCUUAAAGCCGGUCGCAGUUCGGAUUGAAGUCUGCAACUCGACUUCAUGAAGCUGGAAUCGCUAGUAAUCGUGGAUCAGCCAAGCCGCGGUGAAUACGUUCCCGGGCCUU